AUUGAACGCUGGCGGCAUGCCUUACACAUGCAAGUCGAACGGUAACAGGUUAAGCUGACGAGUGGCGAACGGGUGAGUAAUGUAUCGGAACGUGCCCAGUCGUGGGGGAUAACUGCUCGAAAGAGCAGCUAAUACCGCAUACGACCUGAGGGUGAAAGCGGGGGAUCGCAAGACCUCGCGCGAUUGGAGCGGCCGAUAUCAGAUUAGGUAGUUGGUGGGGUAGAGGCCUACCAAGCCUACGAUCUGUAGCUGGUCUGAGAGGACGACCAGCCACACUGGGACUGAGACACGGCCCAGACUCCUACGGGAGGCAGCAGUGGGGAAUUUUGGACAAUGGACGCAAGUCUGAUCCAGCCAUGCCGCGUGCGGGAAGAAGGCCUUCGGGUUGUAAACCGCUUUUGUCAGGGAAGAAAAGGUUCUGGUUAAUACCUGGGACUCAUGACGGUACCUGAAGAAUAAGCACCGGCUAACUACGUGCCAGCCGCCGCAGUAAAAC
rnacentral:rRNA from 1 species